UGGGGAAUAUUGCACAAUGGGCGCAAGCCUGAUGCAGCCAUGCCGCGUGUAUGAAGAAGGCCUUCGGGUUGUAAAGUACUUUCAGCGGGGAGGAAGGGAGUAAAGUUAAUACCUUUGCUCAUUGACGUUACCCGCAGAAGAAGCACCGGCUAACUCCGUGCCAGCAGCCGCGGUAAUACGGAGGGUGCAAGCGUUAAUCGGAAUUACUGGGCGUAAAGCGCACGCAGGCGGUUUGUUAAGUCAGAUGUGAAAUCCCCGGGCUCAACCUGGGAACUGCAUCUGAUACUGGCAAGCUGGAGUCUCGUAGAGGGGGGUAGAAUUCCAGGUGUAGCGGUGAAAUGCGUAGAGAUGUGGAGGAAUACCGGUGGCGAAGGCGGCCCCCUGGACAAAGACUGACGCUCAGGUGCGAAAGCGUGGGGAGCAAACAGG
rnacentral:rRNA from 1 species